rnacentral:rRNA from 1 species
AAUUCCGAGACAGGUGCUGCAUGGCUGUCGUCAGCUCGUGCCGUGAGGUGUGGGUUAAGUCCCGCAACGAGCGCAACCCUAUUGCCGGUUGCUACCAGGUAAUGCUGGGCACUCUGGUGAGACUGCCCCGGUUAACGGGGAGGAAGGUGGGGACGACGUCAAGUCAUCAUGGCCCUUACGCCUAGGGCUACACACGUACUACAAUGGCGCAUACAAAGGGCAGCGAUACCGCGAGGUGGAGCCAAUCCCAAAAAGUGCGUCCCAGUCCGGAUUGCAGUCUGCAACUCGACUGCAUGAAGUUGGAAUCGCUAGUAAUUCGAGAUCAGCAUGCUCGGGUGAAUGCGUUCCCGGGCCUU